rnacentral:rRNA from 1 species
GACAGAGGAUGCAAGCGUUAUCCGGAAUGAUUGGGCGUAAAGCAUCUGUAGGUGGCUUUUCAAGUCCGCCGUCAAAUCCCAGGGCUCAACCCUGGACAAGCGGUGGAAACUACCAAGCUGGAGUACGGUAGGGGCAGAGGGAAUUUCCGGUGGAGCGGUGAAAUGCAUUGAGAUCGGAAAGAACACCAACGGCGAAAGCACUCUACUGGGCCGACACUGACACUGAGAGACGAAAGCUAAGGGAGCAAAUGGG